AAACUUUCAACAACGGAUCUCUUGGUUCUGGCAUCGAUGAAGAACGCAGCGAAAUGCGAUAAGUAAUGUGAAUUGCAGAAUUCAGUGAAUCAUCGAAUCUUUGAACGCACAUUGCGCCCUUUGGUAUUCCGAAGGGCAUGCCUGUUCGAGCGUCAUUUCACCACUCAA
rnacentral:rRNA from 1 species